CAACGACACAACACUACAAUGUAACACACACAGAAACGGACCAAGCAACAGACAAAAUCCCACGAGAAUAACAAAUAUAACAUCAAAACCAAAUACAUGAAUUUGGGAUAGACAAGUACCGUGACACGUCUUAUCGCAAUGUGAAUUAACACUAAAAAAUAAGAGAAAACAAACGACGCAACGUUAAAAUGUAACACAUACAGA
rnacentral:lncRNA from 1 species